GCUCCACUGUGAAGGUUCUGAAGACAAAGCUGUGAUUCUGGUGUCCCCUGAUGUCAGCUUCAGUUUCUUCAUGGAUCAGAUGGACAGACAGACUGUAGAGACGUGUUCUGGCCUCAGUUACCCAGAAAUCCAGCCCUGCUGCUAGAGCCUGCUUUGCCCCGCCCUAUAAAAGGAAGUGGAAGCCUUUACUUCCUGUUUGACAGUCUGACCUUUGACCUGACCCGGUCUGGAUGGAGGAAGCACAUGGAGCAACCCUUUGGGGCUUUAAGUGGAGCAGCAGGUGAAUGUCCAAACACUAAGUCAGCAGGACUAAAACCUGGGGACUCUUUAGUUGCUUCACUGGGAAACGAGGACACCAGCAGAGAAUCAGUGAGAUGUCUGCAUGUUUUGGUGACUGGGACCGAGUAACCACACAGGCUGGCCAGCAGAACAAGCUGUGCAGCGUUCCAGUCCUCGGGUCAGAAGCAGCCUCUCCAUGGUUGGUGGUGAUAAAGCCCAGCGCUGCAGCAGGAGGCCACGGACGAUGAGAGCAGCUCUGAGCUGCAGCUCCUUGAGUCGUGUGACGUUCUGUUUGUGUUGCUGCAGCUUUCUGAAUGGACCGUGUUUGUUCUGCUUCUUCUUCUUCAUGUGUAUUUAUGGAGCCACGCCUCAGUGACAUAUAUUUAUGUACACUGGAGAAAAAUCUAAUAAAAUAAUGGAAAACUAA